UACGUAGGGUGCGAGCGUUGUCCGGAAUUAUUGGGCGUAAAGGGCUCGUAGGCGGUUUGUCGCGUCGGGAGUGAAAUCCACUGGCUUAACUGGUGGCUUGCUUUCGAUACGGGCAGACUGGAGGCAUGCAGGGGAGAACGGAAUUCCUGGUGUAGCGGUGGAAAUGACGCAGAUAUCAGGAGGAACACCAAUGGCGAAGGCAGCUCGCUGGGACGGUACUGACGCUGAGACGCGAAAGCGUGGGGAGCGAACAGG
rnacentral:rRNA from 1 species